rnacentral:tRNA from 1 species
ACUCUCUUAGUAUAACUAAUAUAACUGACUUCCAAUCAGUGGAUUCCGAAACAAACGGAAGAGAGUA